GAGACCAGCAGGUGCCAUGGGCUGGCAGCAGCUGUAUAGCAGGCUCCCCAGUGGGCACCUCGUUCUCAGGACUUGUCACCACAGUUAAUACCAACAUGUGGGGCCUGUGAGGUCUGUGGCACGCACCUGUGUAGUCAUGAGCUGUGGCAGUGGGGACAGCUGGGGAUCUCCAGUUUAUGUUUUCCCUGUACGGAGAAGACUAUCUCAUCUCUGAGCCAGUCCAGGUGGGGAAGAAAGUGUGGCUCGCUCACCUCUCUGUGGUGCUAUCUUGGUUUAUUGUGCACGCAAUAGUCUUACCACUUCCCUGCUAUUUUCUGGCUUACCUCCUUAGCCACUCCACUCAGAAUUUAGUUAUUUACUUUUUGUUGUGAUUCCUUUCUGUGGAGAAGACUAGUGAUGGGCCACUUUUUUGGGCAAUCUUACUACCAUAAAAAAAAUUUUUUUAAAUGACAAGCUAUUAACCAAUAACACUGAUAUACAGUACCAACUUAGUUAUAUUUAAAUGUAUGUAUGAAUGUAUCUAUCCAUCUAUCUAUCUGCUUCUGUUUUGGACUCAUUCUUUUCCUUACAUAUCUGUUUGCCCCAUUGACAAUUACUGUCUUAAUUACUUUAGAUUUAUAAUAAAUCUUGAUACCUUCA